GGAAAGGUGGCCGAGUGGUUGAUGGCACUGGUCUUGAAAACCAGAGAGGGAAACCUCCGCAGGUUCGAAUCCUGUCCUUUCCGCCA
rnacentral:tRNA from 1 species